rnacentral:rRNA from 1 species
CUCUACAGCCCUACCACCCUGAAUGCGCCCCCAAUCUUGUCUGAUCUCGGAAGCUAAGCAGAGUCAGGCCUGGUUAGUACUUGGAUGAGAGACAAAUAACAGUUACCAAACACUGAGUGC